rnacentral:rRNA from 1 species
CCUACGGGGCGCAGCAGUCGAGAAUCAUUCACAAUGGGGGAAACCCUGAUGGUGCGACGCCGCGUGGGGGAAUGAAGGUCUUCGGAUUGUAAACCCCUGUCAUGUGGGAGCAAAUUAAAAAGAUAGUACCACAAGAGGAAGAGACGGCUAACUCUGUGCCAGCAGCCGCGGUAAUACAGAGGUCUCAAGCGUUGUUCGGAAUCACUGGGCGUAAGGCGUGCGUAGGCUGUUUCGUAAGUCGUGUGUGAAAGGCGCGGGCUCAACCCGCGGACGGCACAUGAUACUGCGAGACUAGAGUAAUGGAGGGGGAACCGGAAUUCUCGGUGUAGCAGUGAAAUGCGUAGAUAUCGAGAGGAACACUCGUGGCGAAGGCGGGUUCCUGGACAUUAACUGACGCUGAGGCACGAAGGCCAGGGGAGCGAAAGGGAUUAGAUACCCUGGUAGUC